rnacentral:rRNA from 1 species
AUCUAGCUUGCUAGAUGCUGACGAGUGGCGCACGGGUGCGUAACGCGUAUACAAUCUACCUUUAACUGAGGGAUAGCCCAGAGAAAUUUGGAUUAAUACCUCAUAGUAUUAUAAUUAGGCAUCUUUUUAUAAUUAAAACUUCGGUGGUUAAAGAUGAGUAUGCGUACUAUUAGCUAGUUGGUAAGGUAAAAGCUUACCAAGGCAACGAUAGUUAGGGGGCCUGAAAGGGUGAUCCCCCACACUGGUACUGAGACACGGACCAGACUCCUACGGGAGGCAGCAGUGAGGAAUAUUGCACAAUGGAGGAAACUCUGAUGCAGCCAUGCCGCGUGCAGGAAGAAUGCCCUAUGGGUUGUAAACUGCUUUUAUACAAGAAGAAACCUCGGUACGUGUACCGACUUGACGGUAUUGUAUGAAUAAGCACCGGCUAACUCCGUGCCAGCAGCCGCGGUAAUACGGAGGGUGCAAGCGUUAUCCGGAUUUAUUAGGUUUAAAGGGUCCGCA